GACGAACGCUGGCGGCGUGCUUAACACAUGCAAGUCGAACGCUGAAGCUCAGCUUUUGUUGGGUGGAUGAGUGGCGAACGGGUGAGUAACACGUGAGUAACCUGCCUCCUUCUUUGGGAUAACGCCCGGAAACGGGUGCUAAUACUGGAUAUUCACUGGUCUUCGCAUGGGGGUUGGUGGAAAGGGUUUUUCUGGUGGGGGAUGGGCUCGCGGCCUAUCAGCUUGUUGGUGGGGUGAUGGCCUACCAAGGCUUUGACGGGUAGCCGGCCUGAGAGGGUGACCGGUCACAUUGGGGCUGAGAUACGGCCCAGACUCCUACGGGAGGCAGCAGUGGGGAAUAUUGCACAAUGGGCGCAAGCCUGAUGCAGCGACGCCGCGUGAGGGAUGGAGGCCUUCGGGUUGUGAACCUCUUUCGCUCAUGGUCAAGCCGCAACAAUGGUUGUGGUGAGGGUAGUGGGUAAAGAAGCGCCGGCUAACUACGUG
rnacentral:rRNA from 1 species